ensembl:snRNA U2 U2 spliceosomal RNA
AUCGCUUUCGGCCUUUUGGCUAAAGAUCAAGUGUAGUAUCUGUUCUUAAUCAGUUUAAUAUCUGAUACGGUCCCCUAUCUGGGGCCAUAUAUUAAAUGGAUUUUUGGAACGGGAGAUGCCAAGAAGAGCUUGCUUCUGUCCACUCCACGCAUCACCUGUAUUGCUAGUACCUCCAGGACCGUUGCACCUCUC